rnacentral:misc_RNA from 1 species
AAGUCGUAACAAGGUUUCCGUAGGUGAACCUGCGGAAGGAUCAUUAACACAAAAGUCCAUUUGAUGGUUGAACGUAUUGUAAUGUCAUUUUUGACCUUAUGAAUACACAAUCAUUCAAACCUAAUUAGAAAAUAAGUUGAAGUUCUCAACAAGUUUUUUCAAACUUUGUAGAGAGUGGAUAUUUUAAAAUGAUUAUCAAGUUAAAGAAUGAAGAUAAAAAUUCAUUUUUAAGACUGAUGUUUAAAAGAAUUAUAUUUAUAAACCAAGACAACUUGUAACAGUGGAUACCUUGGUUCCCAG